UACGGAGGGGGCUAGCGUUAUUCGGAUUUACUGGGCGUAAAGCGCGCGUAGGCGGGUCGCUAAGUCAGUGGUGAAAUCCCAGGGCUCAACCCUGGAACUGCCUUUGAUACUGACGAUCUGGAGAUCGGGAGAGGUUGGUGGAAUUCCGAGUGUAGAGGUGAAAUUCGUAGAUAUUCGGAGGAACACCAGAAGCGAAGGCGGCCAACUGGCCCGAUACUGACGCUGAGGCGCGAAAGCGUGGGGAGCAAACAGG
rnacentral:rRNA from 1 species